rnacentral:rRNA from 1 species
CGCCUCCCUCCGCCGCCACUCACGACUCCGUACGGGACGGCGAGCGAGGUGGGGAAGUAGUUAGGACUAAGUGGGACGAAAGCCUGAUCCAGCCAUGCCGCGUGAGUGAUGAAGGCUUCGGUUGUAAGCUCUUCACACGUGACGAUGAUGACGGUAACGUGAGAAGAAGCCCGGCUAACUUCGUGCCAGCAGCCGCGUAAUUC